CAAAAGUUUUAAUUUGGCUUGGGAAAUUAAUGUAUAAAAUUAUUAAAUGUGAGUUUUAGCGGUUUAUUUUAAAUAAUAGGUGAUAGCAGUAAUUAGGUUUAAAUAUAUAAGAAAUUAUGAUUUAGGGAUUUAUAUAAGUAUUGACAAUAUUUGUGCCAGCAGUUGCGGUUAUACAAAUAAUGCAAUUAAUUUUAUUUAGUUAAUAAUUAAUUAUUUAGAUUAAUAAAAAAUUAUUUUUAUUUGGUGAAAUAUUUAAAAAUAUAAUUAUUAUUUAUAUUAAUAUGAUUUAUGAGAUUUAAUUUAUAAACUAGGAUUAGAUACCCUAUUAUUUUAAAUGUAAAAAAAUUACUAAAUUAGUAUUAGUUAUGUUCUUAAAAAUUAAAAAUUUUGGCGGUAUUUUAGUCUAUUUAGAGGAACCUGUUUUGUAAUUGAUAGUCCACGAUUUAUUAAACUUAUUUUAAAUAAUUUGUAUAUCGUCGUAAUAAAAUAUUUUAUAAGAAAUUAAAUAUUUAAAAUUUUUAAUAAUAAAGUAAAUCAGAUCAAGGUGCAGUUUAUAAGUAAGUAGUAAUGGGUUACAAUAAAUUUAUUUUUGAAUAAUUAAUUGAAAAUUAAUAGUUGAAAUUGGAUUUAAUAGUAAUAAUAUUUAAUUAAAUAUUAUGAUUUUAGCUCUAAAAUAUGUACAUAUCGCCCGUCGCUCUCAUAUAAAAUGAGAUAAGUCGUAACAUAGUAGGUGUACUGGAAAGUGUAUCUAGUAAGA
rnacentral:ncRNA from 1 species